rnacentral:rRNA from 1 species
AUUGAACGCUGGCGGCAGGCCUAACACAUGCAAGUCGAACGAGUGGCGGACGGGUGAGUAAUGUCUGGGGAACUGCCCGAUAGAGGGGGAUAACUACUGGAACCGGUAGCUAAUACCGCAUACCAUCGGAUGUACCCAUAUGGGAUUAGCUAGUAGGUGGGGUAAAGGCUCACCUUGGCGACGAUCCCUAGCUGGUCUGAGAGGAUGAGCAGCCACACUGGAACUGAGACACGGCCCAGACUCCUACGGGAGGCAGCAGUGGGGAAUAUUGCACAAUGGGCGAAAGCCUGAUGCAGCCAUGCCGCGUGUAUGAAGAAGGCCUUAAGGUUGUAAAGUACUUUCAGCGGGGAGGCGUUACCCGCAGAAGAAGCACCGGCUAACUCCGUGCCAGCAGCCGCGGUAAUAC